rnacentral:rRNA from 1 species
GACGAACGCUGGCGGCGUGCUUAACACAUGCAAGUCGAACGGAAAGGCCCUGCUUUUGUGGGGUGCUCGAGUGGCGAACGGGUGAGUAACACGUGAGUAACCUGCCCUUGACUUUGGGAUAACUUCAGGAAACUGGGGCUAAUACCGGAUAGGAGCUCCUGCUGCAUGGUGGGGGUUGGAAAGUUUCGGCGGUUGGGGAUGGACUCGCGGCUUAUCAGCUUGUUGGUGGGGUAGUGGCUUACCAAGGCUUUGACGGGUAGCCGGCCUGGGAGGGUGACCGGCCACAUUGGGACUGAGAUACGGCCCAGACUCCUACGGGAGGCAGCAGUGGGGAAUAUUGCACAAUGGGCGGAAGCCUGAUGCAGCAACGCCGCGUGCGGGAUGACGGCCUUCGGGUUGUAAACCGCUUUCGCCUGUGACGAAGCGUGAGUGACGGUAAUGGGUAAGGAAGCACCGGCUAACUACGUG